rnacentral:lncRNA from 1 species
GAAAUGGGCCCUAACUGACUAUUUCCUCUCUAACUAUUAUGGUGGGCACUAAUUCUAUUCAAAACCACAAGAAGGAUAAGGCAUCAUCAGAGAAAGAUAAACCUCACACAAUUGGUUUUUAAAGAAAAUUUUUACAUCCCACAUUAUUCUAAAUGGGUUUAUAGAAGCCCUUGCCUUUUUUUAUUCUCAGAAACUGAAGUUGGACUCCUUGAGAAGAAUGAUUAAUCUAAACUCACCAGCCAUUAAAUAAGGAUUGGUUUAUUAUACAGACUUGAAGGAAGACCUCAUCUCCUCUCCUAACUUCUUUGUUCUCCAUGAGUUCUUAAUCUCCAAGACCAGAUGAAAACAAAGGACUUUUAGAGUAAGGUGAGGAGACUGAGGUUAAGGAACUUGCUGUGGGGAGAGGCCGAGUUCUUGGACUAGCUUCAAGCAACCCCAUUUUAGAGAUGAGGAAACCAGAGAGGUAACUUGCUCAAGGACACACAGCUGGUUUAGUGCUAUAGCUAGGACAAGCCUCAGCUUCUGAAGACUGGACUGUCACACUGCAUCGUAGCUUCCUCCUCUCUCUUUACGUGGAGCAGUUACACCAGGAGAAGAGUGUGCAGGCAUUUGAGCCCUAAAUACCUUUUUGGUUUUGUUGUUGUUUUAAAGAAGCUGAAGCUGCUGCUGCUGAGGGGCCAGCCUCUCUUCAUCAAGGAAGACCAGGAGAAGCCCUUUGAUGACAGGCUUGGCAGCACGUCACCAUCACUUCAGUGGUCAUGCCCCCUCUGAGGAAGUGUGACCAACCAGGCAGCUGUCACCUUCAAUAAAUCUGGAUCUCAAAAGUUUUGUGAAAUGCCCUGCCCCUGGAGAGUUCAUUUUUAUAGACCACAUAAUGUAUGAUACGUGGCAACUCCAGCUCUGGGGGAAUUCGAGAGGCUGAUGGAGGAUUUUCAAGUCAUCAGGAGCUCAGGAAGACAUCUAGGCUCUGAAAAAUUAGAAUUGGCCCCGACAGAGCAGACUUAGGCUCUCAGCUAAUACGAAGGGAUCUGCGUUUUUGGUUUCUCCUCUAGCUGAAUCACCACCUCCCUACACACACACACACACACACACACACACACACACACACACACGUCAUUUCCUCUCUUUCCUUGCAACCAAAAUAGAGUCGGCAUGAUAUGGUUUCUGAAUAAAUAAAUUACUCAUUAAAAUAAGAUAAUUGAAGUAUGAUCCUGUGCAAAUGUUUGGGUACUUUAUUUUUAAAAAUCUCGUAGUAGAAUGUUUUAACUAAUUAAAAACUCC